AGAGUUUGAUCCUGGCUCAGGGAUGAACGCUGGCGGUCUGCUUAACACAUGCAAGUCGAACGGAGUAGAAAUACUUAGUGGCGGACGGGUGAGUAACGCGUGAGAAUCUGCCUUCAGGACGGAGACAACAGUUGGAAACGACUGCUAAGCCCCGAUGAACCGAAAGGGAAAAUAUUUAUAGCCUGAAGAUGAGCUCGCGUCCGAUUAGCUAGUUGGCGGAGUAAAAGCCCACCAAGGCGACGAUCGGUAGCUGGUCUGAGAGGACGAUCAGCCACACUGGGACUGAGACACGGCCCAGACUCCUACGGGAGGCAGCAGUGGGGAAUUUUCCGCAAUGGGCGAAAGCCUGACGGAGCAAGACCGCGUGGGGGAAGAAGGCUCUUGGGUUGUAAACCCCUUUUCUCUGGGAAGAAAGUUGUGAAAGCAACCUGACGGUACCAGAGGAAUCAGCAUCGGCCAACUCCGUGCCAGCAGCCGCGGUAAGACGGAGGAUGCAAGCGUUAUCCGGAAUGAUUGGGCGUAAAGCGUCCGCAGGUGGCAGUUCAAGUCUGCUGUCAAAGACCGGGGCUUAACUUCGGAAAGGCAGUGGAAACUGAACAGCUAGAGUAUGGUAGGGGCAGAGGGAAUUCCUGGUGUAGCGGUGAAAUGCGUAGAGAUCAGGAAGAACAUCGGUGGCGAAGGCGCUCUGCUGGACCAUAACUGACACUCAGGGACGAAAGCUAGGGGAGCGAAUGGGAUUAGAUACCCUAGUAGUCC
rnacentral:rRNA from 1 species